GCCCGCUCAGAAACUCAAAUGAAUUGACGGGGGCCCGCACAAGCGGUGGAGCAUGUGGUUUAAUUCGAUGAUACGCGAGGAACCUUACCUGGGCUCGAACGUAAGAUGACUGUAGGUGAAAGCUUACAUCUCUUCGGAGCAUUUUACGAGGUGCUGCAUGGUUGUCGUCAGCUCGUGCCGUGAGGUGUCGGGUUAAGUCCCAUAACGAGCGCAACCCUACCUUUAGUUGCCAUCAGGUAAUGCUGGGGACUCUAAAGGAACUGCCUACGCAAGUAGUGAGGAAGGCGGGGAUGACGUCAAAUCAGCACGGCCCUUACGUCCAGGGCUACACACGUGCUACAAUGGCCGAUACAGAGGGCAGCUACCUGGUGACAGGAUGCAAAUCUCCAAAGUCGGUCUCAGUUCGGAUCGGAGUCUGCAACCCGACUCCGUGAAGUUGGAUUCGCUAGUAAUCGCGCAUCAGCCAUGGCGCAGUGAAUACGUUCCCGGGCCUU
rnacentral:rRNA from 1 species